GCAUAUCAAUAAGCGGAGGAAAAGAAAAUAACAAUGAUUCCCCUAGUAACUGCGAGUGAAGAGGGACAAGCUCAAAUUUUAAAUCCGUCGGGUUUCACCUGACCGAGUUGUAAUUUGAAGAGGCGUUUUCCGCGUUUUUGAUCAGUCCAAGUCCUUUGGGAUAGGGCAUCAUGGAGGGUGAGAAUCCCGUUCGGCUGAUCAGAUUCGCUUUACGAUACGUCAUCAAAGAGUCAAGUUGUUUGGGAAUGCAGCUUAAAAUGGGAGGUAAAUUUCUCCUAAGGCUAAAUAACGGCGAGAGACCGAUAGCGAACAAGUACCGUGAGGGAAAGAUGAAAAGAACUUUGAAAAGAGAGUUAAACAGUACGUGAAAUUGUUGAAAGGGAAACGAUUGAAGCCAGUCGUACCGGUGGGUAAUCAGCCUUUCGGCGUGAUUAUGUGGAGCGUGAGGAGUUAAACGCCCUCAUGCCUGCAUAUUCGUGUUCUUUGGGUAUACUUACCCGCAUGGUAGGUUAACAUCAAUUUCGAACGUCAUAAAAUGGUUGGAGGAAUGUAGCUUCGAUCUCGUAUUGAAGUGUUAUAGACUCCGGCAGAUGUGAUGAUCGGGAUUGAGGAUUGCAACGGAUACCCUUCGGGGCUACCCGUCUGAUCUCUGAAAGUUACUAUGGUGCCGAAAGCUCGCUUACGGUCAUCAAAGUUGACGUUCAACAGGUUAGAACGGGAUAAAUUCGUUAAGGAUGUUGACGUAAUGGCUUUAAACGAC
rnacentral:rRNA from 1 species